CGGUGGUCUGCUGGGCGGCCCAGCCGGGGGCCAGCUUGCCGGUGGCCGUGCCGACGAGGGCGGGGGCGCCGGCGCCGUUCGCCUCGGCGACGACCGGC
rnacentral:tRNA from 1 species